UCUUGGUGUUUUGGGAGGUAGGGUUUAUAAAUUCGUCUUUAACCCCAAGGGAUAGAACGCGCCGCUUCCCAGUAAGUCUGCAUGUAGCUGUGGUUUCAUACAAUCUUACAACAGAGAUGGAUGCUGUGAAACCUGUUGCGAAACAGCUAGAGAAAGAAGACGACGACGACGACGACGACGACAACGAAGAUGAAGGAAGCAUCACGCAUCAUGAAGAUGCAGUCCUUCUGUCGAAUCAGUAAUUAACCAAAACCAAAAUAAUCUUGCUUCGUCUCUUGGUUGAGCCUCCUUUUCGGCGAUCUCCACAUUGUAGGUAUCAACUGUAACCUCCGUUGACCACAACCCAGGAAAUACCAACUCCGGAGAAGCCUUGUCGAUUUCCUUAUUCGUUAGUGGUAACAGAACUUCACCCUCUCAUUAUUUUCUGACAGUCCUCCUCUUUCCAUCGUUCUACGCGACUUCAUUACCUCACUCUUCAUCCGCCAAGAAUUCACUCUCCUUUCCUUAAUCCUCAAUCCAUAAUUGUUGUUGCUGCUGCAGUCGACAUUCUGGUGGGUGUUUCCCACUCCACCAAUCGAUGCCUUACACGCUGACCUCCUGGUUCUCAGAUUCCAUGGCCUCACCUCUUCAGCCGCUGCAGGGGAUUCUUCUAUUUCCUUCUUCUUGCCGGCUCUGUCAUCGAGGUAGCGGAGAGGGUUGCCAAAAAGGAGUUGGAUUCUGCUUUUGCAGUCGUUAGACCUCCAAGGCAUCAUGCCAAA